GGGAUUUUAUCCUAGAUAUACGCAUGUGCGGAACACACCAUAAGUUAUAUUCCCGUGUUUAUCCAGUUUAAUACGCUCUUUGAAUUAACUUUAUCAUUAAUGAUAAUAUGUAAACUAGAACACUGUAAUUGACCUCCGCUAGUUCCGCUUGUGGAGAUUUUAAUUUAGGGCGAUUAAUUAAACUGAAAUCUGUUCUAUCACGAUGCACUACAGUGCCUAUGGUUAUG